rnacentral:snRNA from 1 species
AUACUUACCUGACGCGAGAGGCACCUUGAUCAACUAGGAGGUCCUCUCAGGAUGAGGCCCUUUCAUUGCACUUCGACUGGGUUGACUCCUGCGAUUACCCCUAAUGUGGGUAACUCAAGCGUAUAAUUUCUGGUAGUGGGGACCUGCGUUCGCGCUCGUCCCUU